UACGGAGGGUGCAAGCGUUGUCCGGAUUUAUUGGGUUUAAAGGGUGCGUAGGCGGCUAUCUAAGUCAGUGGUGAAAUCCUGCAGCUUAACUGUAGAACCGCCAUUGAUACUGGAUGGCUUGAGUACAGACGAGGUAGGCGGAAUUUAUGGUGUAGCGGUGAAAUGCAUAGAUACCAUAAAGGACACCGAUUGCGAAGGCAGCUUACUAGGCUGUAACUGACGCUGAGGCACGAAAGCGUGGGGAUCAAACAGG
rnacentral:rRNA from 1 species